CAUAGGAGGAAAUUCAUAUUUAAAGACCAUCCACCCUCCUCAUCCUGUAUAUUCUCUCAUCUUCCUUGAUUUCUAAUUGUUCAGGUCAUAGAUACUUUCACUUAUUUAUCAAGUUUUCCUGAAAUUCUUUAUUGGUCUCCAAAUCAAGAACCCCAUCAUCUAUUGGAGGAGAAAGACAUAAACAGAAACUCCAACAUGGCUUGUUGAGGAAAGAUGAGAAAUUUUUCUGGAGGAGAUUGUAACAGCUUUCCAAGUAUAGAGGCAAGGGAAAAGUCUGUAUAUUAAUACACAAAAGCUUAAAAAACCUUGUAAAAUUGAGGAGAGUGUGGUUAUUGGAGGUUUCUUGAGAAUCAGGCUACAAGGAGAUGAACAAAGUGGAAAGCAGACCUGGUUAGCCAGGUAAGGGAAGAGGAGUGCAAACUUCAGUCGUAGAAAUAGAGACAAGUCUCGCGAUGGCCUCCUUUAGCUUUCAGCCUGUACCAAGUCUCAGGUUAUCAAGGAUUCCUGGGUUGCUUUAAGAAGGGUGAGAUUUACUUGUCUCUUCAGUUUUCAUCAAUAAUGGCAUGCAGUGAAAGUAAAGACACACUCUUCA